rnacentral:rRNA from 1 species
UGGCGGACGGGUGAGUAACGCGUGGGUAACCUGCCUCAUACAGGGGGAUAACAGUUGGAAACGACUGCUAAUACCGCAUGAAGCAGAGAGGGGACAUCCCUUUGCUGUCAAAGAUUUAUCGCUGAAAGAUGGACUCGCGUCCGAUUAGCCAGUUGGUGGGGUAACGGCCCACCAAAGCGACGAUCGGUAGCCGGACUGAGAGGUUGAACGGCCACAUUGGGACUGAGACACGGCCCAGACUCCUACGGGAGGCAGCAGUGGGGGAUAUUGCACAAUGGAGGAAACUCUGAUGCAGCAACGCCGCGUGAGGGAAGAAGGUCUUCGGAUUGUAAACCUUUGUCCUUGGUGACGAAACAAAUGACGGUAGCCAAGGAGGAAGCUCCGGCUAACUACGUGCCAGCAGCCGCGGUAAU